rnacentral:rRNA from 1 species
CCUACGGGGGGCUGCAGUGGGGAAUAUUGCACAAUGGGUGCAAGCCUGAUGCAGCCAUGCCGCGUGUGUGAAGAAGGCCUUCGGGUUGUAAAGCACUUUCAGCGGGGAGGAAGGCGUUAAGGUUAAUAACCUUGUCGAUUGACGUUACCCGCAGAAGAAGCACCGGCUAACUCCGUGCCAGCAGCCGCGGUAAUACGGAGGGUGCAAGCGUUAAUCGGAAUUACUGGGCGUAAAGCGCACGCAGGCGGUCUGUCAAGUCGGAUGUGAAAUCCCCGGGCUCAACCGGGGAACUGCAUUCGAAGCUGGCAGGCUAGAGGCUUGUAGAGGGGGGUAGAAUCCCAGGUGUAGCGGUGAACUGCGUAGAGAUCUGGAGGAAUACCGGUGGCGGAGGCGGCCCCCUGGACAAAGACUGACGCUCAGGUGCGAACGCGUGGGGAGCAAACAGGAUUAGAUACCCCUGUAGUC